GAAAUGCGAUAAGUAGUGUGAAUUGCAGAAUUCAGUGAAUCAUCGAAUCUUUGAACGCACAUUGCGCCCCUAGGUAUUCCUUGGGGCAUGCCUGUUCGAGCGUCAUUUCAACCCUCAAGCCUAGCUUGGUAUUUGGGUGCUUUGUUCUGUCUCAACUGACGAACUCACCUCAAAGUAAUUGGCAGCCGUUGUCCGCCGGCUACAGUGCAGCACAAACGCACUGAAGAUCAGGCGGGUCAGGCUCUCCACAAGUUCCCACAUGUUGACCUCGGAUCAGGUAGGGAUACCCGCUGAACUUAAGCA
rnacentral:misc_RNA from 1 species